GAGUUUGAUCAUGGCUCAGAACGUACGCUGGCGGCACGCCUAACACAUGCAAGUCGAACGAAGUAGCAAUACUUAGUGGCAGACGGGUGAGUAACAUGUAGGUAUCUGCCCUUUGGCCUGGAAUAACACGAGGAAACUUGUGCUAAUACCGGAUAAGUCUUUACGGAGAAAGCUUUAUGCACCAUUGGAUGAGCCUGCACUUGAUUAGUUUGUUGGUGGGGUAAUGGCCUACCAAGACUGUGAUCAAUAGCUGAUUUGAGAGGAUGAUCAGCCACAUUGGGACUGAGACACGGCCCAAACUCCUACGGGAGGCAGCAGUGGGGAAUCUUGCACAAUGGAGGAAACUCUGAUGCAGCGAUGCCGCGUGAGUGAAGAAGGCCCUUGGGUUGUAAAGCUCUUUCGUCGGGGAAGAAAAUGACUGUACCCGAAUAAGAAGGUCCGGCUAACUUCGUGCCAGCAGCCGCGGUAAUACGAAGGGACCUAGCGUAGUUCGGAAUUACUGGGCUUAAAGAGUUCGUAGGUGGUUGAAAAAGUUAGUGGUGAAAUCCCAGAGCUUAACUCUGGAACUGCCAUUAAAACUUUUCAGCUAGAGUAUGAUAGAGGAAAGCAGAAUUUCUAGUGUAGGGGUGAAAUUCGUAGAUAUUAGAAAGAAUACCAAUUGCGAAGGCAGCUUUCUGGAUCAUUACUGACACUGAGGAACGAAAGCAUGGGUAGCGAAGAGGAUUAGAUACCCUCGUAGUCCAUGCCGUAAACGAUGUGUGUUAGACGUUGGAAAUUUAUUUUCAGUGUCGCAGGGAAACCGAUAAACACACCGCCUGGGGAGUACGACCGCAAGGUUAAAACUCAAAUGAAUUGACGGGGACCCGCACAAGUAGUGGAGCAUGUGGUUUAAUUCGAAGAUACGCGCAGAACCUUACCAACACUUGACAUGUUCGUCGCGACUCUAAGAGAUUAGAGUUUUCGGUUCGGCCGGACGAAACACAGGUGCUGCAUGGCUGUCGUCAGCUCGUGUCGUGAGAUGUUGGGUUAAGUCCCGCAACGAGCGCAACCCUCACUUUUAGUUGCCAUCAUUAAGUUGGGCACUCUGAAAGAACUGCCAGUGAUAAGCUGGAGGAAGGUGGGGAUGACGUCAAGUCCUCAUGGCCCUUACGUGUUGGGCUACACACGUGCUACAAUGGUAUCUACAACAGGAAGCAAGACUGCGAAGUUAAGCAAAUCCCUAAAAGAUACCUCAGUUCGGAUUGCACUCUGCAACUCGAGUGCAUGAAGCUGGAAUUACUAGUAAUCGUGGAUCAGCGUGCCACGGUGAAUGCGUUCCCGGGUCUUGUACACACCGCCCGUCACACCAUGGGAGUUGGUUCUACCUUAAGGCAAGGUUUCAAACCCUUGACCACGGUAUAGUCAGCGACUGGGGUGAAGUCGUAACAAGGUAACC
rnacentral:rRNA from 1 species